UGAGGUGAGUAGCAAAAUCUCUUCAAACUCACAACUUUUAAACGGCAUAAGUAGUGGUUUGACAUUGAACACUGAUAUUACGACUCGUUUCUAACUCACACAGAAUUCAGAUACAAGGACAAGUAUUUACACGAGAAACGAUUAAAACAUUUUACUGAUACUGAAGCGUUAGUAAAAUAUUAGCUUGUUAAUAUUAGCAACGCGCUAACGGUGGUAUAGCCGUUUAACCCAGUUUGUCGGUUAGCCGUCAGUUAGCAAUCAAAAAGCUGCAAGGUCACAGUUUAUUAACCGUAAAUGAGAAACCUUUUCUAUUUCCCCUUUUUUUUAAACUCAGCUGUCCACCUUCACAGUAACGUGCAUUUUUUAAAAAUAUAUAUUUUAUGUAUUCUGAACACAGUCAGUGCUAGUCAAUAUAUGUAGCCGUUCGCCUGCACUCAGGCACCGCCAUUAUACUUUCAUGUUGUCAAAAGUUCCGCCAGCUCUGUCUCUCCCUGGCAUGUUUUAUGCAGGACAGGGUGUCAGCUGUAUAUUUAAAAGUUCAUCAGUGACUCAUUGCAUGUCCUGUACUAACUAUGUUGAAUUAGACUUUGAUGACACAUAAAUCUUCUUUAUAGUGCUGAUAAUAUUAAAUAGAACUGACAUAGCGCAUAAGUAAGAGUGUGUGUGUGUGUUUUAUUUGUAGAUCUGGUAGUUUACCUCAGUAACCACACACUGCCAUUUACAUAUGAUGUAUAAACACUAGGUGAUUAUUUUGUGUAUUGUACUGUGCUGUAAUUUUUCCUCUUUGACAACAGAGGGAUAUUAACAAUCAAUACAUUAUAAACAUGACAAUAAAAUGUGUCCCUCCUCCCCUCUCUUUCUCCUCCUCCUCCCUCCUGUCAUCAACUGUGGACCAUUGUUGGUGAUUUGUCUGGACUGACUCUGAUAAUUGAGAUCUGUGUUGGUGGCUCCUUGGAGACUGAACUGUGUGUCCAGCUGUGUGCCAACCUCCACUCUACCCUCUACCCUUAACUGGACAGAACUAUCGUGCGCCCCCCCCCCCCCAACACACACACACACACACACCCCUUUCCUGUCCCAUCUACCAAACUCACCCCUAAUUUUUUGGACCAUAUCUCUCUCCUGUCUCCUCUUCUCAUUUCUAUCAAAUUUUUUGGACCAUCUAUCUUUCUGCCCCCCCCUACCUGUCCUUCUAUGUAAUUUGUAGCACCAGUUGUGAUUUGGAUCAAAGAUUUUACUGGAUCAGAUAUUUUACUGAAUCUCAGGUUAUUGGUACCUGGUCAUUCUGUCCCCGUCUCUCCUCUGUCCGAAAUUGCAAAUUUCCUAAUUUUCCACAUAUAGAGUUUAAAAAAAAAAUGUGGAAAAAUAAUUGAAACUAAAUUAUUAAGAAACUGCAACAUCCAUAACAGCAGUUAUUUUGUUGUAAUUGGUUGGACAAAUUAUACUUAGAGUGCAAAGAUUGGACUUUGAAAAAAUCUCUCAUUUAUACGUUAUUGAAUACAUAAUUGAACAUAAUUAAAUAUAACAUUGUACUGUUGUAAAUAUAUAUCAACAAGAACUAUUAUUUGGAGUGAAAACACAUUUGAAGCUGAAAAGAAUCAGCUGACUGUACAGAGAUCAACUUCAACAUUUCUUGAUCUCCAGAUAUAUUGAUAUCAGAACACAGUGCUUAUUUUAAGUUAUUUUAUUCUUUAGAGAAAAACACAAAGAAGUUAAAUAGAAUUGGACUUAACUGGAAGACAUUAAUAUAAGAGCACUGUAUCUAGACCUCAGCCUGUUCCUGUUGAUUCAUUCUGGACUGCUGCUCAGAGGUUUGUGCUCAGGUUUGUGUUGAUGGCAAAUAUUUGUCCACACCUACAUUUUUUCAAAUAUUCAGUGUAUACAAGUGUUUUGUUGUUGUUUAACCCGUUGAUACUACAAUAAACUGAAAAACAUCUGU